rnacentral:rRNA from 1 species
GACGAACGCUGGCGGCGUGCUUAAUACAUGCAAGUCGAACGCAGUGGGGACGGGUGAGUAACACGUGGGUAACCUCCCAUCAGAGGGGAUAACACUUGGAAACAGGUGCUAAACCGAUACUGAUGGAUGGACCCGCGGUGCAUUAGCUAGUUGGUGAGGUAACGGCUCACCAAGGCCACGAUGCAUAGCCGGCCAGAGUGCGUGAUAGGCCACACUGGGACGGCGACACGGCCCAGCCUCCUACGGGAGGCAGCAGUGGGGAAUCUUCGGCAAUGGACGAAAGUCUGACCGAGCAACGCGGCGUGAGUGAAGAAGGUUUUCGGAUCGUAGAACUCUGGUGUUAGAGAAGCGGUAUCUAACCAGAAAGCCACGGCUAACUACGGGCCAGCAGCCGCGGUAAUGC